GGAGAGGUCGCAUAGUGGCCUAGUGCAGAGGUUUACUAAACCUCCGUGGCGCAAGCUACCGCGGGUUCGAAUCCCGCCCUCUCCG
rnacentral:tRNA from 1 species